rnacentral:rRNA from 1 species
AGAGUUUGAUCCUGGCUCAGGACGAACGCUGGCGGCGCGCCUAACACAUGCAAGUCGAACGAGCGAGAGAGAGCUUGCUUUCUCGAGCGAGUGGCGAACGGGUGAGUAACGCGUGAGGAACCUGCCUCAAAGAGGGGGACAACAGUUGGAAACGACUGCUAAUACCGCAUAAGCCCACGACCCGGCAUCGGGUUGAGGGAAAAGGAGCAAUCCGCUUUGAGAUGGCCUCGCGUCCGAUUAGCUAGUUGGUGAGGUAACGGCCCACCAAGGCGACGAUCGGUAGCCGGACUGAGAGGUUGAACGGCCACAUUGGGACUGAGACACGGCCCAGACUCCUACGGGAGGCAGCAGUGGGGAAUAUUGCACAAUGGGGGAAACCCUGAUGCAGCGACGCCGCGUGGAGGAAGAAGGUCUUCGGAUUGUAAACUCCUGUUGUUGAGGAAGAUAAUGACGGUACUCAACAAGGAAGUGACGGCUAACUACGUGCCAGCAGCCGCGGUAAAACGUAGGUCACAAGCGUUGUCCGGAAUUACUGGGUGUAAAGGGAGCGCAGGCGGGAAGACAAGUUGGAAGUGAAAUCUAUGGGCUCAACCCAUAAACUGCUUUCAAAACUGUUUUUCUUGAGUAGUGCAGAGGUAGGCGGAAUUCCCGGUGUAGCGGUGGAAUGCGUAGAUAUCGGGAGGAACACCAGUGGCGAAGGCGGCCCACUGGGCACCAACUGACGCUGAGGCUCGAAAGUGUGGGUAGCAACAGGAUUAGAUACCCUGGUAGUCCACACCGUAAACGAUGAUUACUAGGUGUUGGAGGAUUGACCCCUUCAGUGCCGCAGUUAACACAAUAAGUAAUCCACCUGGGGAGUACGACCGCAAGGUUGAAACUCAAAGGAAUUGACGGGGGCCCGCACAAGCAGUGGAGUAUGUGGUUUAAUUCGACGCAACGCGAAGAACCUUACCAAGUCUUGACAUCCUGCGACGCACAUAGAAAUAUGUGUUUCCUUCGGGACGCAGAGACAGGUGGUGCAUGGUUGUCGUCGGCUCGUGUCGUGAGAUGUUGGGUUAAGUCCCGCAACGAGCGCAACCCUUACUGUCAGUUACUACGCAAGAGGACUCUGGCAGGACUGCCGUUGACAAAACGGAGGAAGGUGGGGAUGACGUCAAAUCAUCAUGCCCUUUAUGACUUGGGCUACACACGUACUACAAUGGCGUUAAACAAAGAGAAGCAAGACCGCGAGGUGGAGCAAAACUCAGAAACAACGUCCCAGUUCGGACUGCAGGCUGCAACUCGCCUGCACGAAGUCGGAAUUGCUAGUAAUCGUGGAUCAGCAUGCCACGGUGAAUACGUUCCCGGGCCUUGACACACCGCCCGUCAA